GAUGAGCGCUGGCGGCGUGCCUAAUACAUGCAAGUCGAGCGAACAGACGAGGAGCUUGCUCCUCUGACGUUAGCGGCGGACGGGUGAGUAACACGUGGAUAACCUACCUAUAAGACUGGGAUAACUUCGGGAAACCGGAGCUAAUACCGGAUAAUAUAUUGAACCGCAUGGUUCAAUGGUGAAAGACGGUUUUGCUGUCACUUAUAGAUGGAUCCGCGCCGCAUUAGCUAGUUGGUAAGGUAACGGCUUACCAAGGCAACGAUGCGUAGCCGACCUGAGAGGGUGAUCGGCCACACUGGAACUGAGACACGGUCCAGACUCCUACGGGAGGCAGCAGUAGGGAAUCUUCCGCAAUGGGCGAAAGCCUGACGGAGCAACGCCGCGUGAGUGAUGAAGGUCUUCGGAUCGUAAAACUCUGUUAUUAGGGAAGAACAAAUGUGUAAGUAACUAUGCACGUCUUGACGGUACCUAAUCAGAAAGCCACGGCUAACUACGUG
rnacentral:rRNA from 1 species